rnacentral:lncRNA from 1 species
CUGGAACACAAAUCUGUUUCGAUGACAUCAGUAAUUCUACUCUAGUUACCUUUGACCACCCCUACUCCCACCCAUGGUCACAGGUUGAAAGAGAUUGCCAUCUUUUCAGACCUCACCAUCCAAGCAAAUGUGGUGCAUGGUGCUUCCACCACGCUCCUCGAGCUUGUUCAUGUCAAUAUUAUUUUGCCUAGUUUAUGCCUCUAAGUUGGUUUAUGGUUGCCAGUGUCAGCACGAAACCCUGAUGGGAGCUUAGCUUCCCACCAGGCUUCAGUUGAAUGUGUAUGAAUAGCCCAUAGUAACUGCUUCUAUUGUUCCUGGAAGGCUUGUAUUGUGGAGAGAGCAAUUAAUCAUUUUCUGAGGAAGCCUGAGGGAGCCUAGCACACGGUGUGGUUGAUGAUGGCUUUUUUUCUUCCAAGAUGAACAAAAUAAAAACCCCAGCCAAGGUUUUCCUGAAGACGGGCUUAUCUCCCGCAUUGAUGGGCAACAUUUCCCUGCCAAGGUAGAAUUCCAUUACCAAACAGCAAGCUUACGAACGCAGCUGAAGGUCGGCACCCCUGCUGCCAGGAUCCGUGGAUGCUUGGCACAGCUAGGCACAUCUGCUCCGUGGAUCUCAUUGGGUCCAAUACUGCGGUCUACAGCUUCCUCCUGCAUUUCCUUUGCUAAAGGUCCAUUCCUGUCAACCUGGCUCGGUGUUGCAAGCUUUGCAGUCACAAAAAAAUCUACAACUCACUGUGGAGAUGUUAUCAUAUAUUCACUUCGUGAACAAGAGAACAUUGAUUCAUUAAUUAUUUUUUGCAUUCAUGGUGUCAUGACUCUGCUUCAGAUUUAUCAUGGAAACACAAAAAUGGCUCUGUCCAUGAGAAUAUUUCCAGAGAGGUUUGACUGAGGAGGGAAGAACACACCCUGAAUGUUGUGGCAGUAUCCUGUGGGCUGGGGUCCUGGACCAAAUAAAAGGAGAAGAUGAACUGAACAUCAACAUCCAUGUUUCUCUGCUUCUGGACUGUGGGUACCACUUGACCAGCUGCCUCACACUCCACCUGGAGCCUUUCCUACCACCCGUGAAGUCCUUUCUGUGAUGAUCCCUAGACUGUGCACCAGAAUAAACAUGCCAUUCCUUACAUGGCUUUUAACAGGCAACUAGAAAAGUACCUACAAUGAUCAAACAGACUCGGAACCCAUCCUGUGUGCCAAACAUCCCAGGUCUCCAAGAAGAGAACUCCAGAACCCCAGUGCAAGCUGCGAGGGAAAGCAAGUCUCUUUCGUGUUGCUCAUCACUGAUGACAGUCUGUCUUCACUAGCUUGAUGCCCAGGAUGCCUGCUUUUUUUUUCUAACAAGAGACAGAAUGAGUAUGGAUUCAGAUGGAAGGAGAAGCUGGGAGGAUCAGAGGAGUGGGGA